rnacentral:rRNA from 1 species
UACGUAGGUGACAAGCGUUGUCCGGAUUUACUGGGCGUAAAGAGCGCGCAGGCGGUCGUUCAAGUCGAGUGUGAAAGCCCCCGGCUCAACUGGGGAGGGUCAUUCGAUACUGAUCGACUCGAAGGCAGGAGAGGGAAGUGGAAUUCCCGGUGUAGUGGUGAAAUGCGUAGAUAUCGGGAGGAACACCAGUGGCGAAGGCGACUUCCUGGCCUGUUCUUGACGUUGAGGCGCGAAAGCUAGGGGAGCAAACGGG